GUUUUUCUUUACCCUGGCUGAAAUUUUUAUGCCAACUCUAAAAAGCCUUCCCUUCUCGAACCCCUCUCCACGAAUCUCUCCUUCAAGCUCGUCUCCGUCCAACCCCUCUUCGACAAACCUCUCUUCGUGAAUCUCUCCUCCGAACACCUUCAAACAAUGAGCUUUUUUAGGACCAGUUAUGCCUUGCCUUGAAUGCCUUCACUGCCGCCUGAAGCGAGCAAUGGUACCACGUCGAUCUCAACCUCUAUGCAGAGAUGGUCUCCACCUUGUCCAAGUGCGGAUCGCCACACGAGAUCGAUACCUUGGUCGCCGAUCUAAUGGAGGAGGAGGGAUGACUCUCCGCUGAGACCGCCAAGGCGGUUCCCUAGCUCGUUAGGGCUCUAAUGGCCGAUCGGCGGUGAGGAGAGCCGAUCGGCGGCAGCGCAAAAGGUCAAGAUCGGAUUUUACUUCGCCACGUGGUGGGCGCUGAACGUGGUGUUCAACAUCUACAACAAGAAGGUUCUCAACGCCUUCCCCUACCCUUGGCUGACCUCCACGCUCUUCCUCAUUGUCGGCUAGCUCCCUCAUAUUAAUGCUCAUCUUCCUGGGCUGCUAGGGUUAUCGAGCUGCCCAAGACCGACUUGAGCUUUUGAAAAUCCCUAACUCCGGUGGACAUGGCUCACUUCUACACUUUACCACUAUGUCAUUUGAGGUCUCAUUUCUUUCUAGGAACAUGAAAGAUGAUCCAACAGGGCGUCAGUUAUACCAGCUUCUAACUAGCAUGCAUGACGUUUUCGAACAAAUCAGGGAGAAAAUUUCUCAACUGACAGAGCUAGAGGGGAAGCUGCUGAGCAUGAGAAGAAACUUGCAGCUAUUUUCUCUAGGACUCUUGACUUUGAUCAACCUUGUAAGCAUAUGAAUAUCAGUCAAUAUUUGAUGACAAAUGUUUUGAGUUUGAAGGAAUUCACUGAACCAACACCUAAAGAAGGAAUAUCCAUUUUAAAGGCAAUAUCUUUAGCUAUGGUAUUGUUGCAAAGAUGUGAAUUCAAGUUAAACCAUGAGGCAUGGUUUAACACAGUGAAACACAGAAUAGGAGUUCGUAAUUCCUCUCAGGUUCUUGCAGUUGUGAAUGCUACACAGGACAACAUAAAAUCUUUGUACAAAGUGAGGGCAGAAAUGCGAAGUGCAUUGAACAGUCAUUUGAAGAUAUUUUGAAGGUGAAUGAAGAUAUUCAGAAACUCCAUCUAAACAACUCGGGUAUGGAUGAUUACAUGAGCAACAACUACAUGUUAUGUGACACUGCAUCUGAACCCCACAGGUGUGAUUGGGAAGUACUUCGACAAAGAACUAUCAAGAAGGCUUUGGGAUUUAAGCGAGAACGUGGUUAAAGUCAAUGAGUAAAGAACAUUCAAGUCAAGAGGAUAAGUAACAUCUAUCAAGAUCCUUUAAGUUCAUGCAAUAAGAUGUAAUUGAGAGGAGUAGUUUUGAGUGUCUCCUAAUUAAAAUUUCUUUGUAUGCGAGUAAUUAUUGAUCCCUUGCGUCCGACAAGAGGGAGUAAAUUUCCUACAAAAAUAAAUAAAUACAUUUCUCGAUCUUAUAGCUUGAUUAAAA